rnacentral:lncRNA from 1 species
GUGGAUUUCAUCCCGAAAUUGGCUUAAGAGUUCUCUUUGAUAAAUCAUUAAUAACCUAUGGGAGGUUUUCUACGAUUUCUAUGCAUCGUUUGUUAAAAGAACUUGGCAGGAGUAUCAUUAAAGAAAAAUCACCCAAAGAACCAAGAAAGUGGAACAGGUUGUGGGACCACAAGGAUGUCCACAAUGUUAUCUCGGAAAAAAUGGCGACAGAGAACCUUGAAGCCAUAGUUAUGGAGCGAUGUACAGAAAAUAAGGCUGAAGUAGAAGCAAUGACAACAUUGAGGGCUGAAGCUUUAGCAAAGAUGACUCGCCUUAAAUUGCUCAAGCUGCGUGAUUUGAAUUUCUCAGGAAGUCUCAAUUUUCUUUCAAGUGAAUUGGGGUAUCUAUAUUGGGAAAAAUAUCCUUUCACAUGUUUGCCAUCAAGUUUUCAGCCGGAUAAACUUGUUGAAUUGAUCCUACGUUCUAGCAACAUCAGGCAACUAUGGAAGGGAACAAAGCCUCUUCACAAUUUGACACAUAUUGAUCUCUCUCACUCGAAAAAUCUUAUUAU